rnacentral:rRNA from 1 species
AUGGGCGUGAUGAGUUCCUCCGUCGUGGUCUUCGGCAAUGAUGACGAGGACGCCAGCGUGGGCGAGAAUUCCGUCGUGGUCUCCGGCAAGGGCAAUGACGCCGUCAAGCCCUCGUGCACGGUGCAGUAUUCCUGCGUCAAGCGGCUUCGUGAGCGGCGCCUGCUCUCCUUCCUCGUGGACCAAGGCUUCCACGGCGCCUUCAGAGAGCUGAAUCGCGAGACGGGGGUGCUGUUCAACGUGGAGCACAUCCGGCGGCUGGUGAGGCGGGGACAAUGGGAUGAAGCCCUCAUGUACCUCAACACCUUCCUGCCGCCGUUCAUCAGUGAACGUCGGAGCUUCCGUGCCAGGAUCUUCAACAACUUCCUCCUCAUGCACCCCCGCUUCGCCAACGUGGUCACCGGCAACAAGGACAUGCACCUGGACAAGCAGUACGCCUACGGCCGCAGCAGCUCCACCCGCGCCGAGCGCAGGUUCCGCUCCAUGAACUACUCCAUACUCGCCCCGGACUCGGGCCACCUCAGGGCCGCCAUCGACUGGGACAAGGUGAGGAGCCACGCAGCGUGUCUUAUCCCCGAGUUGGCUCACCGUACUCCGGAGCUGAAACGCCGGACGGUGCUGCCGUCCCGCUGCAUGAUGCCGCACGAUGUACUCCCCAUUGGGACCGGCCAGCGGUAUUGCCGCCUCGUUAGGGAUUCGAGCAUUGAUCAGACUUUGCAGGCUGGUCUACCUAGAGGUUGCACACUAAGCUAUGACUUUCAACCAAGUGGGAAGGAAGUUGAACUUGCUGCAGAUGCUUUUGAUGCUCCGUCAGAGCAGACCAUGCUUGGCGCAUCCAAAGAUAAUGUUAAAGUCCAUGCCACAUCGUUAGUGAAAAUUUCUGGUGCUCCAAUAUGCCAGAUCAUUUCUGGUACCUUGAAAGUUCAUGCUGAAAACCCUGGGAUCUCAACACCGACAAAUGCAGAGAAUAUGUAUUCUGUAAUCAAGUGUCAAUGUUCACCAUAG